CGCUUAAAAAGGUUAAAAAGCAACGGGCUGGCGAAGGCUGUUUGGAGGCCAACAUGACUGGGUACCUGUCCGUUUGUCAACAUUCAAUGUUAAACCGCUCACUCCUGGUUUUGACAGACACGUUUAGUCCUCGGAUAUGUAGAGCACACUUACCUGUUUCAACCAACACUUGUCAUUCCACAAAUUUAUUUUCAACGACUCCCCAAAAUCGUCAGAAGUCUGACUUUGGACUGAGGAAAAACUUCACAUAUUGUAGGCGCAAUGGCCCUGGGAUAUGUUCUUCGUCAAAAUAUAAUAUCGCGCAUCAAUCUGUGAGAUUUUUCUCUGAAUUCGAAAAUGACGACAAGAAAAAGCCGGUCACCUUUUCUACUCCUAAGAAUCGUAUUCAUGGUGGAAAGUACACUGAAGAAAAUAUAUUAAUGCCAGAAACGUUCCCAAUGUAUGUUUUCCCAAAUUUUACCAGUCUUGUUCAUAAUUUACUUUCCCAACUGAUUGUUAGAAAAGUAGAAAAGGAACUGUCGAUACCACAUUUCCUGGAUGCAGCGAAGAAGGCGGUACUUGUGGUUGCCAAUUUGCUGUCCACAGGGAAUGUUGAUGAAGUAGAAAGUUUAACAACAUCCGAGGCCUUCAAACAAAUCAAGAAAAACUAUGAGAAGAUUCCAGCAACUCACCUGGAACAGCUGGCGCUGGAGGAGGACAUGAUCCAUACGCCCGUACGACACAUCCAUAGAGUACAAAUAAAACCACAAGCAACCUCGGAUACUUCUGAGCAAGAGAAAACGAAAUUGGAGAUCCUGUUGGUGUUAGAAGGAUACCAGGGUAAAACUGCGGAAGAAAAACCUUCAAUAUUCAUAAAUAUGGCUAAUAGGAAACGAAUUGCCUGCACCGUAAGGUUCGAGAAGGAGUACUUCAAAGUUGGUGAAGGAUGGGACUGUUCUGCUGCUUGGAAGAUUUCUGGAAUUUCCUACCUAAUACAGGACACGGUUGAUGAAAAACGUGAAAACUUUUUCAUCUAAUUUUUAAUUACUGAUCUGACAAUGUGGAUAUUUUUGGAUAUUUGUUUACAAGGUAAUGACAAGUCUUCACUAUUGCAGUUUCAGAAUUGUUGGAAUCAGAAGUUUAAUACAUUUUUGCAGUUUUACCUCAACCACUAGCCCUCCCAGUCCGCUGAAUAGAAUCUUGUCUAGUGAUCUCUCUAAGGACAGGUGCUGUUGUCAUUUUGUCUCCUCUGACAGAGGUGUUCUUUUGUGUCCUACUUUUGGCAGUAACCAGAGAGCAAGACAGAUGCAUCAAUCAGCCAUUUGUUUUCUUUAAUAACACUGAACACAAGCUAAUAUCACCAUGUAGUGAACCAAAAUUACUAUACAAAAGUAGGUAUGGUACCUCAAGUGAACCAAAGUGGUAAACACUACAAACCUGAGUUUUUAUUUAGUUUUAUAUGUUUUUUUCUUCUUUUGGAACGGACAAGUUCCUGUGCUCUCAAUUGUUUCUUGUUUAGUGACCUCUCUUAGGACAGGUGAUGUAUUUAUCCUUUUGUCUCCUUGACAGGUGUUCUUUAAUAGAUAUUUCUUGAGAAAAAUGGUUAGUGUAUCCAUUUACAGGUGAUCUCUUGUGAUGGGUUAUCUCCCUUGAGAGAUGAUAUCCCAUAAUAUUUGGUCAAAGUGUAGUACCAAUUAAUCUGUUUUAACUCAUUCACCCCUGAAGACACAUUUGAACUUUUCCCAUUCAAAGGAUGGAAUAGUUCAUUAUGGAGUUUUAGGGGUGAAAGAUAUAAUGGAGUUAUGUCGUUUGUGCAUGAAAAUUGAUUAAUCCCUCCUUGUAUAUCAUAAUAGGUCAUACUUUGAAUGAUUUUAGCUUUUACAUUGAAUAGAUUAAAAAUACUUUUGAAAA
rnacentral:misc_RNA from 1 species